AGGGGAAUUUUGCACAAUGGGGGAAACCCUGAUGCAGCGACGCCGCGUGAUUUAGAAGGCCUUCGGGUUGUAAAAAUCUUUUCUAUGGGAAGAAAAUGACAGUACCAUAGGAAUAAGGACCGGCUAAUUACGUGCCAGCAGCCGCGGUAAUACGUAAGGUCCGAGCGUUGUCCGGAAUCAUUGGGCGUAAAGGGUACGUAGGCGGGUAAGCAAGUUAGAAGUGAAAUCCUAUAGCUCAACUAUAGUAAGCUUUUAAAACUGCUCAUCUUGAGGUAUGGAAGGGAAAGUGGAAUUCCUAGUGUAGCGGUGAAAUGCGCAGAUAUUAGGAGGAAUACCGGUGGCGAAGGCGACUUUCUGGCCAUAACCUGACGCUGAGGUACGAAAGCGUGGGUAGCAAACAGG
rnacentral:rRNA from 1 species